rnacentral:lncRNA from 1 species
UGUCCUUCGUGCGUUCCCAAGGAUGAUAACAAUGACAGUCACGUCAUCAUGGUACUUUCUCCUGCUCCCAACAGGUAUCCUCAUCAACUGUUCAGCUGUCAAAGCUGGCAAGGCAUAGGCAUAGGAAGAAAGUAGGAAACAGUUAAUCUUAAUGCACAUUGCUUGGUUAGUUGGUUCAAGAAGGAUUGGCAAAGAUAUGCUAGUUACAAAAGAACUGUGUUCACAAAUGUUCCUCAUUUUUAUUUUUCCGAAUCGGAGCUACUCCCCAAUUUCCAUUCAGAAGAGAACGUAAACAACAAAGUCUGAUACAAUAGAAGGGGGCGGGGGUAAGUAGCGGAACCGAUAGGGCUUGUAGGAAACCCACUGUGACUGAGCCAUCUCGGCCCAGCCACUAUAAGACAAAAACCUACAGCCAAACUAUCCUACAAGAGUACGGUAAUGGUAGACUUUAUAACACCCAGUCUUUGUUCAAUUGAUCAUUAUAAGAUUUAAGUGUUGGUGGUUUAGGAGACAAGGUAGCAAGAGACACAGAUUCAAUAAGGCGGUCAUACUAUCUUUUUAAUAUUUUUAGUAGGCAUGGAAGUCUAGAUCAUAAAAAACAAGGGGACUAGUAAGAUAUGUUAGGUUUCCUCUUGGUAUCAUACAGCUUACUCGCUUAACAGGAAUUAAUGGUACUUCUAUUCCGAUUUUAACUUGAAAAUACAUUUCUACAUUUGGUUUGCACAUUACAGCAUACAGGCCAAACUUGUGUUAGAAUCUUAGCAACAACUAUUUUAUAUGAAUCGAU